rnacentral:rRNA from 1 species
CCUACGGGUGGCAGCAGUGAGGAAUAUUGGUCAAUGGACGAAAGUCUGAACCAGCCAAGCCGCGUGAAGGAUGACUGCCCUAUGGGUUGUAAACUUCUUUUAUAUGGGAAUAAACUGUUCCACGUGUGGGAUUUUGUAUGUACCAUAUGAAUAAGGAUCGGCUAACUCCGUGCCAGCAGCCGCGGUAAUACGGAGGAUCCGAGCGUUAUCCGGAUUUAUUGGGUUUAAAGGGAGCGUAGGUGGAUUGUUAAGUCAGUUGGGAAAGGUCGCGGCUCAACCGUGAAAUUGCAGCUGAAACUGUCAUUCUUGAGUGCAGUAGAGGUAGGCGGAAUUCGUGGUGUAGCGGUGAAAUGCUUAGAUAUCACGAAGAACACCGAUUGCGAAGGCAGUUAACUGGACUAUAACUGACGCUGAGGCUCGAAAGUGUGGGUAUCAAACAGGAUUAGAUACGCGAGUAGUC